rnacentral:rRNA from 1 species
UACGAAGGGGGCUAGCGUUGCUCGGAAUCACUGGGCGUAAAGCGCACGUAGGCGGAUUCUUAAGUCAGGGGUGAAAUCCUGGAGCUCAACUCCAGAACUGCCUUUGAUACUGAGGGUCUUGAGUUCGGGAGAGGUGAGUGGAACUGCGAGUGUAGAGGUGAAAUUCGUAGAUAUUCGGAGGAACACCAGUGGCGAAGGCGGCUCACUGGCUCGAUACUGACGCUGAGGUGCGAAAGCGUGGGGAGCGAACAGG